GGGGCUGUAGCUAAGUGGUAAAACAUCUGCUCUUCAUGCAGAAGCUCUAUGGUUCAAUCCCUGGCAUCUUCA